rnacentral:rRNA from 1 species
UACGAAGGGGGCUAGCGUUGCUCGGAAUCACUGGGCGUAAAGGGCGCGUAGGCGGUGCGGUAAGUCGGGUGUGAAAUCUCGGAGCUUAACUCCGAAACUGCAUUCGAUACUGCCGUGCUUGAGGACUGGAGAGGAGACUGGAAUUUACGGUGUAGCGGUGAAAUGCGUAGAUAUCGUAAGGAAGACCAGUGGCGAAGGCGGGUCUCUGGACAGUUCCUGACGCUGAGGCACGAAGGCCAGGGGAGCAAACGGG